AUUUGAUGGUGUGGGCAUUAUUGCAAUGAACUCUUAUAUCGAUCCCAUGACUCAAACAAUGAUUCACCAUCCUUUUGUAUGAAAUUGGUUAUAAGAUGUUGCAUAU